rnacentral:tRNA from 2 species
GGCGCAUUCGUCUAGUGGCCUAGGACGCCGCCCUCUCACGGCGGAAACCCGGGUUCGAUUCCCGGUUGCGCUACCA